rnacentral:rRNA from 1 species
CUACCCUAUGGACGUGGACACCCUCGGGAAACUGAGGCUAAUCCGCGAUACGGCUCCCACGCUUGAAUGCGGGGAGCCGGAAACGCUCCGGCGCCAUAGGAUGCGGCUGCGGCCGAUUAGGUAGACGGUGGGGUAACGGCCCACCGUGCCGAUAAUCGGUACGGGAUGUGAGAGCAAAUAGCCCGGAGAUGGAAUCUGAGACAAGAUUCCAGGCCCUACGGGGCGCAGCAGGCGCGAAACCUUUACACUGCACGCCAGUGCGAUAAGGGGACCCCGAGUGCGAGGGCAUACAGUCCUCGCUUUUGUACACCGUAAGGAGGUGUACGAAUAAGGGCUGGGCAAGACCGGUGCCAGCCGCCGCGGUAAUACCGGCAGCCCGAGUGAUGGCCGCUGUUAUUGGGCCUAAAGCGUCCGUAGCCGGCCGAACAAGUCUGUCGGGAAAUCCAUCCGCUCAACGGAUGGGCGUCCGGCAGAAACUGUUCGGCUUGGGGCCGGAAGAUCCGAGGGGUACGUCCGGGGUAGGAGUGAAAUCCUGUAAUCCUGGACGGACCGCCGGUGGCGAAAGCGCCUCGGAAGGACGGACCCGACGGUGAGGGACGAAAGCUGGGGUCUCGAACCGGAUUAGAUACCCGGGUAGUCCCAGCCGUAA